CCUACGGGUGGCAGCAGUGGGGAAUAUUGGGCAAUGGGCGAAAGCCUGACCCAGCAACGCCGCGUGAAGGAAGAAGGCUUUCGGGUUGUAAACUUCUUUUAAGAGGGAAGAGCAGAAGACGGUACCUCUUGAAUAAGCCACGGCUAACUACGUGCCAGCAGCCGCGGUAAUACGUAGGUGGCAAGCGUUGUCCGGAUUUACUGGGUGUAAAGGGCGUGCAGCCGGGAAGACAAGUCAGAUGUGAAAGCCCGCGGCUCAACCGCGGAACUGCAUUUGAAACUGUUUUUCUUGAGUACCGGAGAGGUCAUCGGAAUUCCUUGUGUAGCGGUGAAAUGCGUAGAUAUAAGGAAGAACACCAGUGGCGAAGGCGGCCUGCUGGACGAAAACUGACGGUGAGGCGCGAAAGCGUGGGGAGCAAACAGGAUUAGAUACCCGUGUAGUC
rnacentral:rRNA from 1 species